GGGAAGGUGCUCCCGAGUGUGACAAAUUUGCAAAGUUUUACCGCUCUCUUUGCCCUGGUGAAUGGGUAUGUAAUUUCAAUGCUCUUUCAGGUCCUAAAAUUGUAAUGUUUGCUAUUAUUAUUGAAGGUAUGGCCCUCUGCAUCCCCUACAUGAUGAAUCAUAUUCGGUUCUUACUUUAGUUUAGUUAAAUUGCCUUUGCUAUUGGAGAAGUUUGCAUUCUAAUUGUCGAUCUUAUAGUGUUCUAAGUGGUGACAAAUCUGGAAGGAGGGAAAACAGAUAUUUAGUUGAAAAGGCCACAAUCAUUUGACACCAUGUGUGAAAUAAAGGAGCCCCACAAUUUGUUGGGCUUAAUGUUUUGCUCAAGUUGAUCUCUGUACUUUAAAUUUCAGAUCAACUCUUUAGCCAUUCAUUGAUACCAAAAUAGUGUUCGUAUUUUUGUAAUGCGUUUUAUUCUAGAAACUGAACCUAAUGGAUAAAUAGUUUUCUCAAUUGGAUUGCCUUGCUUUUUUCAUUUUUGUUGUUUGACUCGCCUUGCUGUUUUGUCUAUAUUUGGGAGAGGUUAGUGCUUCAAAUACUGUUGUGAGAUCAGAAAAGUAUGUGUCGUAUAACAAGUUAUUAAGCAGUUCUAUUAUGCUUAUAGUUGAUAUCAAUUGUUUCUACUCUAGUUUACACAAGAUACGAAUCAAAAUCUUAUUAGAAUUUCUGUUGAGAUGUUUUCAGUGCGUGGACCAUUGCUGUUUUUACAGUUUCUGCUCUUUUUUUAUUUAAGUUUUUGCUGCUGGGAGGAGAGAGAAUAUACCACAAUCUGUGGCGAGUGCUUGUGAAUGUUUUUUUUAAGUGGGUGUGAUUUUGUUUGCCUGCACUUCAGGCACGUGGGCAGCCAGUCUCACUCAACAUUGGAACUUUAAUUAUUCCUCAUUUUAAGGAUUGACGAUUAUACUUUCAAGCGUCCCGUUCUGGUGACCAAGAGAACAUUUAUGAUAUUUUCAAUAUUUGUCAAAAUGGAUAAAGUUCCUUGUUUGGAUGAAGUACUCGAUCUUGAGUAUAGAAUAGAACCUGUGAACAUACACUUAUAGCUCAAGACAUUUACCAAUGUGUGACUUAGUUACUGGUGUACCCACACCUGCAUCUGUUUGUGCUGCUGUUGAGUUUCCUUUUGCUUAUUUGUUUACAUGCUAUAAGGAAUUGUUAUUGUAUUUCAUUCAGUUCAGGUUUUCUAGUUGGCUACUUCUCUCUCGUAAGUCUUGUAUUCCUUAGCAGAGCUAAAGUUAACAGUGUUCUUGUUGUACUGUUUGUAUGUAUCAGGUUGAGAGAUGGAACGAACAAAGGGAGAAUGGAACUUUUCCAGGUCCCCUGUAGAUGGUGUUGGCUUAAAAAACAAGCGUUGGUCUGUGCGUUUCUGUAAUAUCCAAGUUUUCCUCCAAUAGAUGAGUUUCUACAUUGAGAGUUGAACUCCAAGGGAAUGCCCUAUUUUAAAACAAUGAAUGAAUAAGAAAUAAAACAAUGAAUGAAUAAGAAAUUUUGGCUUAUUUCAGAAUACAGCAAAACUGUAGCUCAUAAAAUGAAGUUUUUGUUCAUCACUAAAUCAUAGUUUCAUUUCUCAUAAUUUUUUUGUGCAUGAGCUGUUGUAAAACUGUUGCCAAAAGC
rnacentral:lncRNA from 1 species